rnacentral:lncRNA from 10 species
UACACAUAUACAUGUUUUAUAUAUAUAUAUUUUUAUAUAUAUAUAUAUAUUUUUUUUUUUUUUUUUUGAGACAGAGCUUUGCUCUUGUCGCCCAGACUCCAUCUCAAAAAAAAUAAAUAAAUAAAAAGUGAGAUUUUAAAAAGAAAUCUUAUUAAGUCAUUUUAAGUUGGGUGUUCUGUUUCAGUCAAAUCAUCCUAAAUGAUAUCUUUUAAAAAUAAUUCUUCCCAGAAGAAUGGAUCAUGGCAGAAUACAGAAAAUGAGCUCAUGUGUGCAAGCCUCCUUCCGGAAAUCAUAACAGCUAUGUGUAUAUGAAGUGUUUACUCUGUGGCAGGUACUCUGGAAGCACCUUUUAUUCACUGUCUCAUCUGAUUCUCAUGACAGCCCUGUCAUUAUCCCCCACCCCCCCACCUUCCCAUUUCACAGCUGAGGAAGUCAAGGUGCAGAAAGGUUAAAGGAACUCAUAAGUGAAGGCACUGCGAUCUGAACUCAAACAAUCCAGCCUAAAAACCCAUGGUCUCAGCCACCAUGCCAUGUUUCC